UGGUUGCAGCAUACUCCUUGUAG
rnacentral:siRNA from 1 species